rnacentral:lncRNA from 1 species
UGGGAGGGUCUAUCAAAACUUGUCUUAGACACCAUCAGAAAUGGCCAAGUAAGUGGGCUGCCAAUUAAAAACCACCGGUCUGGUUUACCUUAGACACCAAUUGAUUUAAUUAGUUUCGAUUAGAUCAACCUAACAGUUCGUGCUAGACUGUUUAGCCAAGAAUUAAGUCCAUUUGGUUCUCGUUAAAGACAUGGACUUGACCAACUACAACUAUUGUAAUGGAUCUAGA